CAGAAGAAAUCACCGCAUUUAAGCAGGAGGCCUUUGUGUUGCCUAGCCUCCCAUCUAGAGGCUGCUUCUUCAGCCUGGGUCCUAGAAUGAAAGAGACCUCUGGGAGCAGAGCCACCAUCUACUAGACACCUGUCAAGAGCCUUGCCGUAACUAUCAUUGUGCAUGGAAAUGGAGCAGAUCUCACGCACGCCUGCCUAACCAGGCCUGACAGAACAGCUGCUGAUUGAAGAAGGUAGAAGGAGCCAGAUGCAUGCCCCACCUGUUCUGUGCCGAGCCUGCAGGCAGCCUGAGGGCAGAUCUGUAACACCCCUUCCCCCAUAUGCCCGCUCGCUGUGCACAUGAUCACCAAGCCUUCAUCCCCGGCAAGUUCUCUUGGAAGCUUACCUCCCUUCUCCCCACCCCACUCAUCCCCACUUGGAGCAGAAGCAAGAGAAAGUAAAGCCCUAGUUAUUUCAAAUGGGGCUUGACGCAGCUUCACAAAGAACAUAAAAUCAAACCAUUUUCACAGGCAAUCACACCCGGGCAGUUAAAAUAAACUGAGAACUCAAA